rnacentral:rRNA from 1 species
UACACUCCUACGGGAGGCAGCAGUGAGGAAUAUUGGACAAUGGGUGGAAGCCUGAUCCAGCCAUCCCGCGUGCAGGAAGACGGCCCUAUGGGUUGUAAACUGCUUUUAUCUGGGGAUAAACCUACUUACGUGUAAGUAGCUGAAGGUACCAGAAGAAUAAGCACCGGCUAACUCCGUGCCAGCAGCCGCGGUAAUACGGAGGGUGCAAGCGUUAUCCGGAUUUAUUGGGUUUAAAGGGUCCGUAGGCGGACUGAUAAGUCAGUGGUGAAAUCCGACAGCUUAACUGUCGAACUGCCAUUGAUACUGUUAGUCUUGAGUAAGGUUGAAGUGGCUGGAAUAAGUAGUGUAGCGGUGAAAUGCAUAGAUAUUACUUAGAACACCAAUUGCGAAGGCAGGUCACUAAGUCUUAACUGACGCUGAUGGACGAAAGCGUGGGGAGCGAACAGGAUUAGAAACCCGGGUAGUCCCA